rnacentral:rRNA from 1 species
CCUACGGGCGGCUGCAGUGGGGAAUAUUGCACAAUGGGCGGAAGCCUGAUGCAGCAACGCCGCGUGCGGGAUGACGGCCUUCGGGUUGUAAACCGCUUUCGCCUGUGACGAAGCGUGAGUGACGGUAAUGGGUAAAGAAGCACCGGCUAACUACGUGCCAGCAGCCGCGGUGAUACGUAGGGUGCGAGCGUUGUCCGGAGUUAUUGGGCGUAAAGGGCUCGUAGGUGGUUGGUCGCGUCGGAAGUGUAAGCGUGGGGCUUAACCCUGAGCUUGCCUGCGAUACGGGUUGACUUGAGGAAGGUAGGGGAGAAUGGAAUUCCUGGUGGAGCGGUUGAAUGCGCAGAUAUCAGGAGGAACACCAGUGGCGAAGGCGGAUCUCUGGGCCGUUCCUGACGCUGAGGAGCGAAAGCGUGGGGAGCGAACAGGAUUAGAUACCCGGGUAGUC